rnacentral:rRNA from 1 species
GAUCUUGGUGGUAGUAGCAAAUACUCAAAUGAGAACUUUGAGGACUGAAGUGGGGAAAGGUUCCGUGUGAACAGCAGUUGGACACGGGUUAGUCGAUCCUAAGCCAUAGGGAAACUCCGUUUUAAAGUGCGCUCUCGGGCGCCGCCUGGCGAAAGGGAAACCGGUUAAUAUUCCGGUACCUCGAUGUGGAUUAUCCGCGGCAACGCAACUGAAGGUGGAGACGUCGGCGGGGGCCCCGGGAAGAGUUCUCUUUUCUUCUUAACUGUCUAUCACCCUGAAAUCGGUUUGUCCGGAGCUAGGGUUUAAUGGCAGGUAGAGCAGCACACCUUUGUGCUGUCCGGUGCGCUCUCGACGACCCUUGAAAAUCCGCCGGAAGGAAUGAUUUUCACGCGAGGUCGUACUCAUAACCGCAGCAGGUCUCCAAGGUGAACAGCCUCUAGUUGAUAGAACAAUGUAGAUAAGGGAAGUCGGCAA